CCGCUCGAACUCGGCCCUCGUUUGGACCGGCAACAAAUUGGCCGCCGCGCGCAUGAUGCUGAUCUGGUGCUCGGUGAGGUGAGGGGGGUACGCGGGGU